rnacentral:rRNA from 1 species
UACGUAGGCAGCGAGCGUUGUUCGGAAUUACUGGGCGUAAAGAGCUCGUAGGCGGUCUGUCGCGUCGGCUGUGAAAACUCGGGGCUCAACUCCGAGCUUGCAGUCGAUACGGGCAGGCUAGAGUUCGGCAGGGGAGACUGGAAUUCCUGGUGUAGCGGUGAAAUGCGCAGAUAUCAGGAGGAACACCGGUGGCGAAGGCGGGUCUCUGGGCCGAUACUGACGCUGAGGAGCGAAAGCGUGGGGAGCGAACAGG